CUUCACAAAAAACUUGUACUUUGACCAGACACCAUUACAAGGAAUUUCUUCAUAUAAUUAUUCUUCCAUCUAGAAUAACUAAACAGAAUAUGGAAACAAUUCCAAAAGUUGAAACGCAAUUGAGGAAAUUUGGCGAACGACCUUCCAAUAUGGAACCCACUAUUAAGGAUGAGUCAAACUCAAAAUUACUGAAAGUUGGAGAAAUACCAUGCGAAUGAAUUUAACACUCAAGAGAAGAUUCCACUAUGAUUAUGUAUAUGAAAUAUCAGGAAAAUAUGCUACGAAAUAUCCUCUGAAAUAUCACGAAAAUAUGUACUCUCCAACCAUGUAACUAGCAUUCCAUAUCAAUAAGCCAAACCUUUAUUUAUAACAUAAGUACGAACAUAAA